rnacentral:rRNA from 1 species
GAUGAACGCUGGCGGCGUGCCUAAUACAUGCAAGUCGAGCGAACAGACGAGGAGCUUGCUCCUUUGACGUUAGCGGCGGACGGGUGAGUAACACGUAGGUAACCUACCUAUAAGACUGGGAUAACUUCGGGAAACCGGAGCUAAUACCGGAUAAUAUUUCGAACCGCAUGGUUCGAUAGUGAAAGAUGGCUUUGCUCUCACUUAUAGAUGGACCUGCACCGUAUUAGCUAGUUGGUAAGGUAACGGCUUACCAAGGCAACGAUACGUAGCCGACCUGAGAGGGUGAUCGGCCACACUGGAACUGAGACACGGUCCAGACUCCUACGGGAGGCAGCAGUAGGGAAUCUUCCGCAAUGGGCGAAAGCCUGACGGAGCAACGCCGCGUGAGUGAUGAAGGUCUUCGGAUCGUAAAACUCUGUUAUUAGGGAAGAACAAACGUGUAAGUAACUGUGCACGUCUUGACGGUACCUAAUCAGAAAGCCACGGCUAACUACGUG